ACUCUCCAGGUUACGAAGCUUUAUCCAGAACCCUGAACGCGUCGUGCUGACGGCGACCCUGAACGCCGUGAUUUCCCGUUCGCCGCUGCAGGUCGCAGGGCGGGCUGGAGCCAGUCCCAGCUGACAUUGGACGAGAGGCGAGGUUCACCCUGGACAGGAAGCGGAAAGGUCCUGGAUGGUCGCUUGGUUGCUUGGUCCCAACCUGGAUAUGGAACCAUGAGCCUUCCUGCCGUGAGGCGACGGUACCUACCACCACACCACCGUGCCGCCCAAUCUAAUAACGUUCCAAACGAAAUCCGACAGAGAGGCCAGUUUCUCACGAGCAUUUCAUGAAAACAGCAUCAGCAUCUCAUUUAAAAGUGUCAAAACAAAAAUAAACUUGAUUAACAGGAGCAGAAAAACAACAACAACAACAGGCACAACAGACCCCGGACCCGUGAGAGACUGUAGAGCAGCUCGGCGACUGUGUGUAUCAAUGCCACUGGUGAUUAGCAGGUACAGUAUAGGCUCAAGCCUCAUGAUUCCCUUUCCCCGGCGGACGGCGCCCCCAUGGGAACGGACCAGAAGGGUGGGCGGAGGACUUCUAACGAAGCGCUGGUAAUCCACUGAAGUCUGAAGACGGACGAGGAAGAGGAGAAAGACAAGAGUUUGUACCGCGCAGCCUCACUGAUCCCGCGUGUGGGCCGCUGAAGAGACGAACCACCAGGCCUUUCUGAGCAUGUGAAAUAAUGACGUGGAUCAGACCUGCAUGCCAAAGGCAUGAGUCAUUAUUUUAUUUUUUAAAGGUUCUUUACUGCGAAUAGACUUUCCUCUUCCUUGGCUAAAAGUUACUGAUGGAGGGGGCAGGGGGGGGGGGCCACGGCUCCGUCCACUCUUAAUCCACUCCAGACUUUUUAUCUGAGGACGAAACCAGCCCCCCCCCCCCUUGCUCAAACCCUCACUCCACACAGAAACCCCCUUGUGUCUGCCAUCAAGGCAGAACUCCCUGAAACCUCUGUAUGAUGACAUCCACUACAGUACAUGUAAGCGUGUCCCGAGACGAGCAGCGUCUCCAACGGCUCUGCUCCCUUUGUGUCGCCUCCUACGCUGUGUUUGUACUUAAAAGCCCGGAAAUGUUCCCGUUGGACGGCUGGCGGCGUGCUCCUUCAGAGAACACGCUGAAAUUGUUUGACAAA